UACGAAGGGGGCUAGCGUUGCUCGGAAUCACUGGGCGUAAAGGGCGCGUAGGCGGUUCUUUAAGUCAGGGGUGAAAUCCUGGAGCUCAACUCCAGAACUGCCUUUGAUACUGGGGAUCUCGAGUCCGGAAGAGGUGAGUGGAACUCCGAGUGUAGAGGUGAAAUUCGUAGAUAUUCGGAAGAACACCAGUGGCGAAGGCGGCUCACUGGGCCGGUACUGACGCUGAGGUGCGAAAGCGUGGGGAGCAAACAGG
rnacentral:rRNA from 1 species